AUGUCGUAACAAGGUCUCCGUAGGUGAACCUGCGGAGGGAUCAUUA
rnacentral:rRNA from 1 species